GAGCGAACAGGAUUAGAUACCCUGGUAGUCCACGCCGUAAACGAUGAUCACUCGUUGUUGGCAAUAUAUCGUCAGCGACUGAGCGAAAGCAUUAAGUGAUCCACCUGGGGAGUACGAUCGCAAGAUUGAAACUCAAAGGAAUUGACGGGGGCCCGCACAAGCGGAGGAACAUGUGGUUUAAUUCGAUGAUACGCGAGGAACCUUACCUGGGCUUAAAUGCAGAACGAUGUACCGGGAAACUGGUAUUCCCUUCGGGGCGAACUGCAAGGUGCUGCAUGGCUGUCGUCAGCUCGUGCCGUGAGGUGUCGGGUUAAGUCCCAUAACGAGCGCAACCCCUAUCGUUAGUUGCCAGCGGAUAAUGCCGGGGACUCUAACGAAACUGCCAGUGUAAACUGUGAGGAAGGUGGGGAUGACGUCAAGUCAGCACGGCCCUUAUGUCCAGGGCUACACACGUGUUACAAUGGCCGGUACAGAGGGCAGCUACCUGGUGACAGGAUGCAAAUCUCGAAACCCGGUCCCAGUUCGGAUCGAAGUCUGCAACUCGACUUCGUGAAGGUGGAUUCGCUAGUAAUCGCGCAUCAGCCACGGCGCGGUGAAUACGUUCCCGGGCCUUGUACACACCGCCCGUCAAGCCAUGGAAGCUGGGGGUACCUGAAGUCUGUAACCGUAAGGAGCGGCCUAGGGUAAAACUAGUGACUGGGGCUAAGUCGUA
rnacentral:rRNA from 1 species